GCGGUUUGAUCCUGGCUCAGGACGAACGCUGGCGGCGUGCUUUACAUAUGCAAGUCGAACGGUGAACCGGUGCUUGCACCGGGGAUCAGUGGCGAACGGGUGAGUAACACGUGAGCAAUCUGCCCCGAACUCUGGGAUAACUGCGGGAAACCGCAGCUAAUACCGGAUACGACCCAAGGAGGCAUCUCCAUUGGGUGGAAAGUUUUUCGGUUCGGGAUGAGCUCGCGGCCUAUCAGCUUGUUGGUGGGGUAAUGGCCUACCAAGGCGACGACGGGUAGCCGGCCUGAGAGGGCGACCGGCCACACUGGGACUGAGACACGGCCCAGACUCCUACGGGAGGCAGCAGUGGGGAAUAUUGCGCAAUGGGCGAAAGCCUGACGCAGCGACGCCGCGUGGGGGAUGACGGCCUUCGGGUUGUAAACCUCUUUCAGUGGGGACGAAGCCGUGAGGUGACGGUACCUACAGAAGAAGCACCGGCCAACUACGUGCCAGCAGCCGCGGUAAUAAACCUAAAUAGC
rnacentral:rRNA from 1 species